rnacentral:rRNA from 1 species
UGGGAAUUUGGACAAUGGGCGAAAGCCUGAUCCAGCAAUGCCGCGUGUGUGAAGAAGGCCUUCGGGUUGUAAAGCACUUUUGUCCGGAAAGAAAUCCUUGGCUCUAAUACAGUCGGGGGAUGACGGUACCGGAAGAAUAAGCACCGGCUAACUACGUGCCAGCAGCCGCGGUAAUACGUAGGGUGCAAGCGUUAAUCGGAAUUACUGGGCGUAAAGCGUGCGCAGGCGGUUUGCUAAGACCGAUGUGAAAUCCCCGGGCUCAACCUGGGAACUGCAUUGGUGACUGGCAGGCUAGAGUAUGGCAGAGGGGGGUAGAAUUCCACGUGUAGCAGUGAAAUGCGUAGAGAUGUGGAGGAAUACCGAUGGCGAAGGCAGCCCCCUGGGCCAAUACUGACGCUCAUGCACGAAAGCGUGGGGGAGCAAACAGGAUUAGAUACCCUGGUAGUCCACGCCCUAAACGAUGUCAACUAGUUGUUGGGGAUUCAUUUCCUUAGUAACGUAGCUAACGCGUGAAGUUGACCGCCUGGGGAGUACGGUCGCAAGAUUAAAACUCAAAUGAAUUGACGGGGU